GAGGAAGUAAAAGUCGUAACAAGGUCUCCGUUGGUGAACCAGCGGAGGGAUCAUUACAGAGUAUAAAAACUCUCAAACCCAUGUGAAUCUUACCUUUGUUGCCUCGGCAGGUCGUCGUUCCUACCCUGGAGAGCUACCCUGUAGCUCCCCCGGGCGGGGCGGCGCUCAGGCCUGCCGGUGGCCCGCAGACUCUGUUUUACAGUGAAUCUCUGAGGAAAAAGCAAAUAAGUUAAAACUUUCAACAACGGAUCUCUUGGUUCUGGCAUCGAUGAAGAACGCAGCGAAAUGCGAUAAGUAAUGUGAAUUGCAGAAUUCAGUGAAUCAUCGAAUCUUUGAACGCACAUUGCGCCCGCCAGUAUUCUGGCGGGCAUGCCUGUUCGAGCGUCAUUAAAUCCAUUAAGCCCUGUUGCUUAGCGUUGGGGGGCUGCCCUAGGGCACCCUCUUAAAUCUAGUGGCGGAGUCGGGUCGCACUCUGAGCGUAGUACAUGCUAUUCGCUUUGGUAGUAGGCCCGGCGCCAGCCGUAAAACCUCUUUUUCUAAAAGGUUGACCUCGGAUCAGGUAGGAAUACCCGCUGAACUUAAGCAUA
rnacentral:rRNA from 1 species